CGAAGCCGUGAGGGUGUGCAAGUCGUCUCUCUGCGUUCUGAUUUUUCCAGUGCCUGGAACUCAGCGGUGUGAACAAUGAGUGGCCGUGCAAGAGCUCGAUCUACAAGGAGAGUGGACUAUUCCAGGUCCAGUCUGGUUGAACUUCUGCUGAAGGAUGACAAAAAGACUGAAGAAGCAUCUGCUGAGGCCUCAGCUGAGGCAUCAGCUGAGGCAUCAGCUGAGGCUGGGGCUGUGGCUGGGCCUGUGGCUGCGGCUGCGGCUGCUGAACAAAAAAAGGAGGAUACAGCCACUGGAUCACUUGAGCGUCAAGAAGCUGCAGCAGAAAGUACUAGUCAGGAUGUGACUGUGAAAGACACUGGAGUUGAGACCCGCGAGGUCCCCCCUGAAGGGAGAAUGAGAUUUUCACGGAAACAAACUGCUCGUAAGACUCAGGGAG